rnacentral:lncRNA from 1 species
GUGCCUUACCUAAGAUCCAGAGAUUUUUAGGGCCUAGAUGGAUGACUCAUUUCAUUCCUACCUUAGGUCUUUUAUGAGACAUUAUUAUUGCUCAGCUUAACAAUUUGGGUUCUAUUAAUUUUAUUUAUACUAAUAGGCAAGUUGCUUUUGGGGUUAUUUUUCUAUCAAAUGAGCCAAUCUAGAUCUUGGGUGUUGUGUGUGCUA